GACGAACGCUGGCGGCGUGCUUAACACAUGCAAGUCGAACGGAAAGGCCCUGCUUUUGUGGGUUGCUCGAGUGGCGAACGGGUGAGUAACACGUGAGUAACCUGCCCUUGACUUUGGGAUAACUUCAGGAAACUGGGGCUAAUACCGGAUAGGAGCUCCUGCUGCAUGGUGGGGGUUGGAAAGUUUCGGCGGUUGUGGAUGGUCUCGCGGCUUAUCAGCUUGUUGGUGGGGUAGGUGCUUACCAAGGCUUUGACGGGUAGCCGGCCUGGGAGGGUGACCGGCCACAUUGGGACUGCGAGACGGCCCAGACGGCAACGUGAGGCAGCAGGGGGGAAUAUUGCAGAAUGGGCGGAAGCCUGAGGCAGCAACGCUGCGUUCGGGAUGCUGGCUUUCGGGUUGUAAACCGCUUUCGACGGUGCCGAAGCGUGAGUGACGGUAAUGGGUAAAGAAGCACCGGCUAACUACGUG
rnacentral:rRNA from 1 species